rnacentral:rRNA from 1 species
UACGAAGGGUGCAAACGUUGCUCGGAAUUAUUGGGCGUAAAGCGCACGUAGGCGGCUUUUCAAGUCCCAUGUGAAAGCCCACGGCUUAACCGUGGAAGUGCAUGGGAAACUGGAAAGCUUGAGUACUUAAGAGGAUCGCGGAAUUCCCGGUGUAGAGGUGAAAUUCGUAGAUAUCGGGAGGAACACCAGCGGCGAAGGCGGCACUCUGGGCCGGAACUGACGCUGAGGAGCGAAAGCGUGGGUAGCAAACAGG